rnacentral:pre_miRNA from 1 species
AGAGAGAUAGCUGGGUCAAAUGGUGGUUCCAUUCCCAGAUUUCCAAGGAAUCUCCAUACUGCUUUCCAAAUUGGCUGCACCAAUUUGCAGUCCCACCAGCAAU